rnacentral:sRNA from 1 species
ACACAGAGAGGAGGUGAUCCGAGGAGUGAUUUCCCAUCGGACGCGUGAGGUGGCUCGCCGCUGAGGCGACCAUCGGUUCUGAAGAAUCGACGGACGCGCAGCGAAUACCACCGAGCUGCCCGGACCCGCAGGCGUCGGCCUCGUCCUCCGACACGCGCAUCGCGCAGCCUGCGGGUCUGCCCAUG